AGAAACUGUUGUUCUGUUCCUUCGAGGGAAUGGAAUGGGAUGAAGGAAACAGCAGGAGCUGACUUUCACAAAAUGCUUCCUUAUAAGCAUCUUCCUUGGACUUAAAGGGGUAGCCCUGCUUCCUUCCCACACUCAGAUACUGGCUAUAGCCAGUAGCAUCAGGACUUUAUCAAGCCACAGAAGAAGACAAGAGUCAGUGAUAUCACGUAGCAGGUAAGCCGGUCACUGGGAAAUAGCAGCUUACAUGGUAUGAUGCUGGGAAUUGUUCUGUGUUUUCUCAUACCAGCUUUUCAAACUCACGGUCUCUCCCUACUUUGUUCUCAGUACUUACCUUUGCUUUUGAAAAGGUUAAAAUAGUUGAGGCUACUCCAGAGUCGUAAUAAGCAUAGGAAUAUUAUUUUAAGAGAAAAACAUAAGCAAACUUAUAAGUCACCACUGCUGGGAGGGACUCUCGCAGCACACAGAGGACACGUAGUAUGAUCUGACUGACUGUAACAGCUGUUGUAUGACAAAACUUGGUGCAGCUGUGUCCUCUUUGGGUUUAAAUACCGGGUUCUGACAGAGGCAUUGAACAAACUGAGAGCACUGCAAUGUUCUCAAUUCUGUUCUUCUCUGAAGUUAAAAUACUCUGCCACCCCUGCUCAAAUUGGUGAAUGCUAAUGAUACUCUGACAGCCUGCAGAAGGACAAGAGAGGUUUCACUGCCUAAGGAAAAAGAGACACUUUAAUGGCACAUUUUCCAUAAACACUGUGUGAAUAAGAUAAGAUAUAAUUCACAUUCAUCCUGGACAUGCUCCAAUAACACACAAGAUGAGCACAGUCAGUGAUCCUCACUAAAAAUUACACACAAUUUUAAUGGUAAACAAUUACAACUAUGGCACUACAGUACUUGAGGAUAUCCUAAAGCACAUUGGAAUCAGUUUUCAAGGUGCUGAUUACCUCAUCAGUAAGACACAGACACACCAGCAAUGAAACAGGGGGAGGCUGCUGAACACCAGGCAUCACGCUUUCCACUGCUUUAGCAAAAUCCACAUAAAUGGCCUCUGCUUCUGAAGCACAUUUAUUGCCCCCCUCCCCACGUUUUAAACACGGCUCACACAGCUGUUAACACCUGGAUAAAUCCCUUCUGCCUGCGCCACGAGAAGGAGCUCUGUCAGCGCUGUCACAGUCUGCAUCAUGCCACACUAACUUAAAUGCUCAACACAGCAGAGCAGGAGUGAUCUGAGAGCUGGGCAUUCUGCAUUUCCGUUUGACUGGUCAGGUCUCCAGUUGUACACGUACAUGGCUAAACAGUGACUGACAAAAAAGGAUAACUCUCCAUCAGACAAAUUAGGGUGAAAAACAUGGCAGUCUCUGAACUGCAGAGAGCAGCUGCUGGCAGAGCAGUCACAAGCAAGACAAACUCUCGCCUGUUAGUAUGUACUAUGAUCAGCAGUAAAGUAGAAACAUUUGGCUUAAACGAAAUGAGAUAUCCCUCCCCUCCCACAAGCCAGUAGAUAAAUAUAGGAUAUACAAGUAAGGUUAAAAACGUAAUACUAGGCCAGGUGCAGUAAAGGUUACUGGUUCAGUGCUUACUUUUUUUUUUUUCUUCUGACACCACACUGAAUAGAAUACAGUGGAUAAGCAAAGUUCUCCACCAGGAAGAGAAAUACUUGUGUUGCCACAACAAACUGUUCGUGCUGUCCAUCUGGUUUUGCAGUGGGAGAAAGUUAAAUUAGGAAAGGGUUUACAAUGUAUUUGCUCCAGGAAAGCAUAUGGCUAAGUCCGUGCACCAGGUGCUGCAAGAACAAGGCUGAUGAGCUCGCACUGUGUUCCCAUGGCUGCCUCUGGCAUGGAGACCAUGCUUGAUACCCUUGCCCAAGACCUUAAUUAACGUUACAAAGAAAACAUUACUGAAAGUAAAUGCUUCAGUGAGAAAUUGGUCUGACCCCCAACAUGAAGAGAAAUAGAAGCUGCUUAAAACAAGUAAGUGAAUGGCGCUGAAGAUUACAGAUGAAGCUCUUACAGUUACAGAAAGGCACAUUUACAUCACGAUAGUUUGCAAUAAUGCUGUGUACACCUGACUCCUGCCAGCUGAGCUGCUUCUGGCCCACAGCUGGUUGGGCAGUUUAAGGUUUGUAUUCUCCAGACUAAGAUGCUAAAAUGCAAUGCAAGCCGAGCAGCAUGCAGACACAGAUGGAAUUGACUUGAUGCCCCAGCUGGGAGCAGCAGGGCUGCCCUGUGGGCUUUAAAUGCUGUAAAAAAUAUUUCACAUCCCACACAGCAGUGAAGGCUGACAAAUGCCACCAUCUAUUCCAAUUAGAGCAAAUUCUGCCUGUGUGGAACUGAGAAAUGGGAGGUAAACUAUCUGCAAUUUAAACAGUUAAGAGUUCUAUUUACUGUUCAUCUCCAGGAGACAAUAUAUCUAUAGAUAUGACUCCCAUUAAUGUAUCAGAUCAUCACGAUAGCUUUUUACUAAUGUUCAGCUCACAUAUUCAUACACAAUCAGCAAAAUAUCAUUUUCUGCAGCUUUUAUGUGAAGUCAGUCAGUCUCUCCUGGUUGAAGAUCUGAAAAAACACAAGGCUGCCAUUUGAAUGGAACUCACCUGACUGUGAUUUCACUUUGUGUUCUGUCAGUGUACAACUGCUAGGUAGCACACAGCAAGGAAACAGGAGCUUACCCGCCUGCACUGAGGUUGAGCCAUACAGUACAAUUCAUAGGGAAAUUUGUGCUACAUUCUAUGUCUUUCUAGAAGGAUUAAAUGAAAAGAGCACUCAUGUGUUCAACUUCAGUUCUCAGGUGUUUCCAGGCUAGUAUAUUCUACUGCUACCAUGCUGCAUGUGAAGGACAACACUAUUCUUACCACCAGGCUUUUCACAUUGCAGGAGCAUCCAGUUACUGGCUGGGGGCUACGAAGGGUGGGGAGCAAGGAAAGCACUGAAAUGUAGCAUUUGUUUUCUGAACUCCUGGAUUUUACAACCUGGCUUUUUCUGACCAGCUUUUCUAAAUCUCACUAGCAGAGAUUAUCUGACUGCCACUAUGCAGCGGAAGAGCAGAGCUGAAAGCUUUCAACAGCUGUCUUCCUCCAUUGCACAGUCGGGUCUAACAAAUUGCAUUAUGCCAUUCUGUGUCAAUCUUCAGACUGGAAAUGAAGAUCCCACACUGGACUACAGAGUAACUACUACAGCUUACCAGAAUGUGCUCCAGAACAAAUAGUUCUGGGUUACCCACCAGGCUGUUUUCCCUUUAGUUUAUAACUGAACUGAUAAAAAUUCAUACCAAGCAUCUCAAAUUCCAUCCGCUUCCUUUCCAUUUCAAGUGAACUACAGGCACUGAAGCAGACAGAAGAUACUCAGACCUAAGGCUGUUCUCAGAACCCCACACUUAGGGGCUGAGCUCCCAGUUCCCAGCUGGAAAGAGCUGAAGUCCCACUGCCAGGAGGUCUCUGAGCUUUAAAGCAAGGAAGAAGUGUUUGUGAACAGCCUUCAGGAUUAUGGUCUAACAAAGAGGCAACUUUGAGCAAUUCAAGUCAGAUUUGAAAAAAAAAAAUAAUAAAAUACAUCAAGACAAUUUAGAUGUUUCUGUUUUAAGGUAAUUUUUAGAAAAGUUUUAGGGGAGGGAAAAGCGUAUGUGAAGAAUACUUGAAUUAAUCUGCAGUAUGGAUACAAUUUAACCAACUGUUUUUAUUUACAACAAUUCAUGAAAUUCAGCAGCCUGAAUACACACCAAUAUAGCAGCUAUAGAGCAAUUACCUGGUCUACUUAAUGAUGCCGCAUCUCAUCUCUUCUGCAGACAAAGAAUGAUUGGUCAGAGGUCACGGCUUACUUUCUUGCACGAGGUGCAAGCAAUUCCUGGAUCUACAUAACAGCUGUGAGAGCAACACAGUUAUAACUGCCCUUUGUGAUGAGCACAUUUGUCUUGCUUGUAAGGAGAACAGAAAGCUUCUCUGAUGUAAAUGUGCCUUUAGAAAGUGAGAACUGGAAACAUUAAUAUAAAAAAAAAGUCAAAUAACUAGGUAUUUCAUGAAACUA